ACACCCGGCUCCCAGUGCUGCUCUGGCUGGUGCUGAGGUCCCUGGUGCUGUUUUCUCUACAAAAAACAUCGCAGCGAACUCUCAGAACCGAGGGCUGCUCCUCCCAUUCUCAAAACACCAGAAAGAUCUGGAACAUCUUCCCAUCGUAACUCUUCUUCCCCUUCCCCCAGCUGCACCGCUUCGCUCCAGAUUCGCCUCCAGCGCCGACGCCAGCGCUGUCCCCACGCUCACCCCGGGAGAAGAGCUCCGUGUGAUCCCCCCUGUUCUGUUCCACAUCAUGUAGCACAUCCCAUCAGACCGCCGCGAGAUGCUCGCGCUUAAUUUGUGUGCACAAACAAUCGGGGGAACCGGGCUGGCGGCCGGGAGCCGCACCAGGGCCAGCGGCGGGCAGGGAGCAGCUGCCGCCCGGGCUGCCCCUAAUUGGAGAUGCAGUUUGCUCAGGCCCUGAUUGAUGCGCGGCCGCGGCACGAACACCCACGCCAAGGACACUCGGCGGGAGAGCAAAAAAAACGUUUUGAACCCAAAAGCGGCACUUACUCGUUGAGGGGGUAAUUAAGGGUGUUUGUCUUUAGGAGCUUUGGCCGAGCGAGGCGCAGCGCCGGGGAAACGCUGAGUGCUCUGGAGAGAGCAAACCACAUCACAUGAGCCCCAUUAGGGCUCUCCCGGCGGGCUGGGAUUCGGAGAAUCGUGGAGCUGUUUAGGUUGGAAAAGACCAGGAAGGUCGCCGAGUUCCCCGCGCUGGGGAGGACAGCGGGAGCAUCCUCAGGGCUGCACCCUGGACAUGCAGCUCCCACCCGGCUUCAGGCUGAGAAAUGCCGCAGUGGAGGCUGGAGCCGGGGGGAAUCGGCCUCUUCUCCCAGGUCCCACAGCAGCUGGACACAAGACUGAUCCCUCUGUGGUCCCACUGACAGUGAAACCAGCAGAGCACUUUUAAGAACGCAUCGAUUCUUGCUAUGCCAAGGGAAUUCUGCACUUCAAAUGUCUUGUAUUGACAAGAACUCUAAGAAUAAACCCCUUUGAAAAAUGUGA